rnacentral:tRNA from 1 species
AGCCCUUUAUCUUAAAUGGAUAGAGACUCAAGCUACGAACUUGAGAGGUUUGGGUUCGAAUCCCAAAAGGGCUU